rnacentral:rRNA from 1 species
UGACCGUGCAAAGGUAGCAUAAUCACUAGUCUUUUAAUUGGGGGCUUGUAUGAAUGGUUGGACGAGAAGUAAGCUGUCUCUAAUUAAUGAAUUGAAUUUAACUUUUAAGUGAAAAGGCUUAAAUGAUCUGGAGGGACGAUAAGACCCUAUAAAGCUUUACAUUGGAUUUAUUAAAAAGUAAUUUAAAUAAUAAAAGUUUAUUAGUAGGGAGAUGUUUUGUUGGGGUGACAAGAAUAUAAUAAAUAUAACUGUUCUUUUUUAGUUCAAAAAUAUUUGAAUAGGAGAUCCUUUAUAGAGAUGUUAGAGUAAGUUACUUUAGGGAUAACAGCGUAAUUUUUUUUGAGAGUUCUUAUCGACAAAAAAGUUUGCGACCUCGAUGUUGAAUUAAAGAUUCUUUAUAAUGUAGAAGUUAUAUAAGAAGGUCUGUUCGACCUUUAAAUCUUUACAUGAUUUGAGUUCAGACCGGCGUAAGCCAGGUUGGUUUCUAUCUA